rnacentral:misc_RNA from 1 species
UAAAAGCAGUUAUUAAGUUUUUUUCUUUAAAGCUUUUGAACUUAAUAACACUUUAAGUUAACCUUGUAAACAUCAUUAAGUUUACCUUUAAAAGAUCAAAGAACAAUUAUUAAAACCUUUUUGAUCAGAUAACUAAUAAGCUAACUAACUAAAUCAUCGAUGCAUAAUUAACUGCAUCAAUGAUUUUUUUUCAUUAUUUUUACCGCAAAAAAUGCAGAUUUAUCUGUUAAACUAAUGAUUUAAAGAGGCUUUUUUUUAUUAUCAAUCAUUGGUUAUUUUUUACUUGUGAUUUUAGCUUUAAUGCUUAUAAAAAAAUCCAAUGAUAAAAGUUUUUUAGAAAAGUGUUGUACAAACUGAUUUGUUGUGCUAUAAUCUAUAAGGCUUAUAUA